rnacentral:rRNA from 1 species
GAGUUCAAGAGUACGUGAAACCGUUCAGGGGUAAACCUGAGAAACCCGAAAGGUCGAAAGGGGAGAUUCAACGCGUCUCGGAGUUCGCGAUGACGUGCGCCAGAGACGGGCGUCCCUCCGUGGACAGCCAGCUCCGCACGCCUAUCGAUCGGGCACCGAACGCGUGCACUUCUCCUCCUGUAGGACGUCGUGACCCGUUGGGCGCCGGCCUAAGGCCCGCGACGGAGCCCGGACGCCUCUCGCGGUCCGGACCCGCGGUGUCCCGGCCGGCACGACCGACGGUAUAACUAAGGCGCGGGGCCGCGACUCGUUCGCGUCCGGCGCGUCGCAAGCGCGAGCGGUAAACGCGGGUAAUCCGGUCCCGUUACCGGAUCCCGACCCGUUCGGCUGUUGGCGACGCGGUCCUCGGACAGACCCCGUACACGCCAGUCUACGGCGCUAUAGCUUUGGGUACUUUCAGGACCCGUCUUGAAACACGGACCAAGGAGUCUAGCAUGUGCGCGAGUCAUUGGGACUCUACUAAACCAAAAGGCGCAAUGAAAGUAAAGGUCCGCCCCGCGCGGACCGAGGGAGGACUCGCCCGUCCGCCGCGGACGGGCGCAGCACUCCCGGGGCGUCUCGUUCUCAUCGCGAGAAGAGGCGCACCCAGAGCGUACACGCUGGGACCCGAAAGAUGGUGAACUAUGCCUGGUCAGGACGAAGUCAGGGGAAACCCUGAUGGAGGUCCGUAGCGAUUCUGACGUGCAAAUCGAUCGUCGGAACUGGGUAUAGGGGCGAAAGACUAAUCGAACCUUCUAGUAGCUGGUUC